rnacentral:tRNA from 2 species
GCAGAAGUACUCAAGAGGCCGAAGAGGCGCCCCUGCUAAGGGUGUAGGCUGGGCAACCGGCGCGAGGGUUCAAAUCCCUCCUUCUGCG